rnacentral:rRNA from 1 species
CGAGCGAACUGAUUAGAAGCUUGCUUCUAUGACGUUAGCGGCGGACGGGUGAGUAACACGUGGGCAACCUGCCUGUAAGACUGGGAUAACUCCGGGAAACCGGAGCUAAUACCGGAUAACAUUUUCUCUUGCAUAAGAGAAAAUUGAAAGAUGGUUUCGGCUAUCACUUACAGAUGGGCCCGCGGUGCAUUAGCUAGUUGGUGAGGUAACGGCUCACCAAGGCAACGAUGCAUAGCCGACCUGAGAGGGUGAUCGGCCACACUGGGACUGAGACACGGCCCAGACUCCUACGGGAGGCAGCAGUAGGGAAUCUUCCGCAAUGGACGAAAGUCUGACGGAGCAACGCCGCGUGAGUGAUGAAGGCUUUCGGGUCGUAAAACUCUGUUGUUAGGGAAGAACAAGUACAAGAGUAACUGCUUGUACCUUGACGGUACCUAACCAGAAAGCCACGGCUAACUACGUGCCAGCAGCCGCGGUAAUACGUAGGUGGCAAGCGUUAUCCGGAAUUAUUGGGCGUAAAGCGCGCGCAGGCGGUUUCUUAAGUCUGAUGUGAAAGCCCACGGCUCAACCGUGGAGGGUCAUUGGAAACUGGGGCUGUGGAGUGCAGAAGAGGAAGAGAAAAGCGGAAUUCCACGUGUAGCGGUGAAAUGCGUAGAGAUGUGGAGGAACACCAGUGGCGAAGGCGGCUUUUUGGUCUGUAACUGACGCUGAGGCGCGAAAGCGUGGGGAGCAAACAGGAUUAGAUACCCUGGUAGUCCACGCCGUAAACGAUGAGUGCUAAGUGUUAGAGGGUUUCCGCCCUUUAGUGCUGCAGCUAACGCAUUAAGCACUCCGCCUGGGGAGUACGGUCGCAAGACUGAAACUCAAAGGAAUUGACGGGGGCCCGCACAAGCGGUGGAGCAUGUGGUUUAAUUUGAAGCAACGCGAAGAACCUUACCAGGUCUUGACAUCCUCUGACAACUCUAGAGAUAGAG